rnacentral:misc_RNA from 1 species
AACGCACAUUGCGCCCUUCGGUAUUCCGUUGGGCAUGCCUGUUCGAGCGUCAUUUAACCAUUCAAGCCCUGCUUGGCGUUGGGUGUUUGUUCUGCCUCAGUGCAUGGACUCGCCUUAAAUUCAUUGGCAGCUGGUAUGUCGGCUUCGUGCGCAGCACAUUGCGUGUCGAUUCUGGCAGACCUCCUACCAUCAAGACUUCUUUUAGUUUGACCUCGGAUCAGGUAGGGAUACCCGCUGAACUUAA